AGAGGGUGCGAGCGUUAAUCGGAUUUACUGGGCGUAAAGCGUGCGUAGGCGGCUUUUUAAGUCGGAUGUGAAAUCCCCGAGCUUAACUUGGGAAUUGCAUUCGAUACUGGGAAGCUAGAGUAUGGGAGAGGAUGGUAGAAUUCCAGGUGUAGCGGUGAAAUGCGUAGAGAUCUGGAGGAAUACCGAUGGCGAAGGCAGCCAUCUGGCCUAAUACUGACGCUGAGGUACGAAAGCAUGGGGAGCAAAC
rnacentral:rRNA from 1 species